rnacentral:tRNA from 1 species
GGAGGGGUGGCCGAGUGGUUGAAGGCGCCCGCCUCGAAAGCGGGUAUACGGGGAACCGUAUCGAGGGUUCGAAUCCCUCCCCCUCCG